AUUGAACGCUGGCGGCAUGCUUUACACAUGCAAGUCGAACGGUAACAGGCCUUCGGGUGCUGACGAGUGGCGAACGGGUGAGUAAUGCAUCGGAACGUACCCAGAGGUGGGGGAUAACGCAGCGAAAGCUGUGCUAAUACUGCAUGUGAUCUGAGGAUGAAAGCGGGGGACCGAGCAGCAAUGUUUGGCCUCGCGCCUUUGGAGCGGCCGAUGUCGGAUUAGCUAGUUGGUGGGGUAAAGGCCUACCAAGGCGACGAUCCGUAGCUGGUCUGAGAGGACGACCAGCCACACUGGAACUGAGACACGGCCCAGACUCCUACGGGAGGCAGCAGUGGGGAAUUUUGGACAAUGGGCGCAAGCCUGAUCCAGCAAUGCCGCGUGCGGGAAGAAGGCCUUCGGGUUGUAAACCGCUUUUGGCAGGAACGAAACGGUGUCCGCUAAUACCGGGCGCUAAUGACGGUACCUGCAGAAUAAGCACCGGCUAACUACGUG
rnacentral:rRNA from 1 species